GUGAGGCGAGGGGCCGGGGCUGCGGCCGGGCGGCGACGCUCGGGGCCGGCGGUUUCCCAGGCGAUGGGUGGGGAGAGGAGGAGGAGGAGGAGGAAGAGGAGGAGGAGGGGUCCUCGCGGCUUUAUCUCCCACCCGGCUCCGCCCGCCGUCGGCUGUCUCCCGUGACCGCAAGCGCACCGGCGGGCGCAGCGCGGGCAGGGCAGCGCCCAUGGGCUGCGGCAACUCCACGGCCGGCAGCGCGGGCGGGCGAGGUGCUACAGGGACUACUAAAGAUGUGUAAGUACUUACUCUUCUCUACUCUUUUAAAUAUAUAACCCUGGACAUAUUUUCAGUCAUACUAGCCUUAUACUAGAUUUAGUCAUACAUGAUUAAUCUGGCUUCUAACAUAUAAUCAACACAACCAGAUGUUUACUGUCUUUAGUGACAGCUUU
rnacentral:lncRNA from 1 species